rnacentral:rRNA from 1 species
GACGAACGCUGGCGGCGUGCCUAAUACAUGCAAGUAGGACGCACAGCCUAUACCGUAGCUUGCUACACCAUAGGCUGUGAGUUGCGAACGGGUGAGUAACGCGUAGGUAACCUGCCUAUUAGAGGGGGAUAACUAUUGGAAACGAUAGCUAAUACCGCAUAACAGUAUGUAACACAUGUUAGAUGCUUGAAAGAUGCAAUUGCAUCGCUAGUAGAUGGACCUGCGUUGUAUUAGCUAGUAGGUAGGGUAAUGGCCUACCUAGGCAACGAUACAUAGCCGACCUGAGAGGGUGAUCGGCCACACUGGGACUGAGACACGGCCCAGACUCCUACGGGAGGCAGCAGUAGGGAAUCUUCGGCAAUGGGGGGAACCCUGACCGAGCAACGCCGCGUGAGUGAAGAAGGUUUUCGGAUCGU